rnacentral:rRNA from 1 species
UCGAGAAUCUUCCGCAAUGGGCGCAAGCCUGACGGAGCGACGCCGCGUGUGGGAUGAAGGCCUUCGGGUUGUAAACCACUGUCGUAGGGGAGGAAGGACCGGUGAAGAGCCGGUUUUGACCUAUCCUAGGAGGAAGGGUGGGCUAAGUUCGUGCCAGCAGCCGCGGUAAGACGAACCACCCAAACGUUAUUCGGAAUUACUGGGCUUAAAGGGUGCGUAGGCGGCGCGGAAAGUCAGGUGUGAAAUCCCUCGGCUCAACCGAGGAAUGGCGCUUGAAACUACCGUGCUCGAGGAAGACAGAGGUAAGCGGAACUUCGGGUGGAGCGGUGAAAUGCGUUGAUAUCCGAAGGAACGCCGGCGGCGAAAGCGGUGCACUGGGCCUUGUCUGACGCUGAGGCACGAAAGCCAGGGGAGUGAACGGGAUUAGAUACCCCGGUAAUCCUGGCCGUAAACACUGAGCACUGGAGGAGAGAGGCUUCGGCCUUUCUCCUCGCAGCGAAAGCGUUAAGUGCUCCGCC